rfam:Picea glauca, whole genome shotgun sequence.
ACAUGCCUACAACAUAGCGUUAAUGCACCGAAUCCCAUUAGAACUUCAUAGUUAAGCGCGCUUAGGCUAGAGUAGUACUGGGAUGGUGGACUGCUCAGGAAGUCCUAGUGUUUUACAUGCC